GAUGAACGCUGGCGGCGUGCCUAAUACAUGCAAGUCGAACGAACAGAUGAGGAGCUUGCUCCUCUGACGUUAGCGGCGGACGGGUGAGUAACACGUGGAUAACCUACCUAUAAGUCUGGGAUAACUUCGGGACACCGGCGCUAAUACCGGAUAAUAUAUUGAACCGCAUGGUUCAAUAGUGAAAGACGGUUUUGCUGUCACUUAUAGCUGGAUCCGCGCCGUAUUAGCUAGUUGGUAAGGUAACGGCUUUCCAAGGCAACGAUGCGUAGCCGACGGGAGAGGGUGAUCGGCCACACGGGAACUGAGACAGCGUCCAGACUCCUAAGGGAGGCAGCAGUAGGGAAUGGGCCGCAAUGGGCGAAAGCCUGACGGAGCAAGGCCGCGUGAGUGAUGAAGGCCUUCGGAUCGUAAAACUCUGUUAUUAGGGAUGAACAAAUGUGUAAGUAAAUAUGCACGUCUUGACGGUACCUAAUCAGAAAGCCACGGCUAACUACGUG
rnacentral:rRNA from 1 species